GGAAGGCUCGGGCGACUGAUCGAGCGGGCGGGCAGUCAGUCAGUCAGUCAGUGGCUGUUUGCUUUGUCGGGGGCCAGGAGGGCAGUGCUUUAGGCGGCGUCGUGCAUGGCUCUGAAGACAGGGCGGCUUGUUGAGGGGACAAAGAUCACCAGAGCGGGGGGGCGUUUUUCUUGAUUGUGUUGCGCGGCUUGAUGGCGGAUGCCGCGGCUAUGAGCGGCGGUGAGAAAACGCCAGAGCCGCCUCAGCGGGCGGGGAGCAGCAGCGGCCUCUCCUUUGGAGAGAACAGAGCUGCAGCCGCCGAAGCGGAAGAAACCACACAAAAUGGCGGCCGCCCAGAGAGAACCCGAACCGAUGAGCAGCCGCUACUAGGUGUCGCCGCCGCCGCCGUAGAAGACAGGGGAUCCCCGCGCAGUGGCCACCGCAAGAGUAGCGUCUCCGCGGCCCAGGAACAAGCACAGCCACAGCCGCUUAGCGAUGGACUGGGGCCCUCGCUCCCCAAAGCCUCUGAAGAUCUGCCGCUUAAGAAAAACUUUCAGAUUCCCAGGAAGAGCAGAGAAAAGAAAGCUCUUUUUCAGGCAUUAACAAAAGAAACUCGUGAAUUUGAAGAAGUUGUCAACAUUUUACAUUCGUCAUAUUUAGAAAUCCAUUCAAAAGACAACUUCACCUAUAAAAAAGCCAGCUUGGUUCAUAAUGAACUGUUGGAAAAAGAGUUCAUAGAGAAACGAAGAGAAUUAAAAAGAGAUGGCCGAUCAGAAAAAGAACUGGCUGAAACAUAUGCAUUCCUGAAGGUUGACCGUGCUUUGGUGCAAAACAUAUGUGAAAAUGGCCUACAGGUAGGCCAUUCCAAGAUAACAGUUCUUGGCAGCCCUUCUAUGGGUGUAUAUCUUUCUAAGUAUGCUGAUUUGUUGCAAGCCAAUCCUUUGGAGGCCAGAGCAACUGGUGAUAUUAUUAUUUUCAAAGUAAUAAAGGGAAGAAUGAAGACUAUAUAUGAUAACCUGGGAGUAGCAGACUUGGCUGUUAAAAGUGCAUUAGAUCCUACACCAAAGCAUGAAUGCCAUGUUUCAAAGAAUGCAAAUAGAAUUACUUCUGUCUUAACCUACAGAGCAUAUGAGCGCACACAGUAUUAUUUCUAUGAAUACGGCUUUGAUGAGAUCAGACCAAGACCAAGACAUGUAUGUCCAUAUGCUGUUGUAGCCUUUUCUUACAAGGAUGAAAAGGUGCAAAAGUAUUUGCCUCAAGCAAGAUCAAAAAUGUCUAAUAUGGAUAAGAACACUGAUAAGACGAGUUACACCUUAUGGAAAGGGCAACUUUUAAACAGAGGGACACUUGUAUGUCAUGCUGCUUUGAAAUCAGAAAUGCGUCCUUCACUUCCCUGUAAGCUACCUGAAAAACUUCAUGUUGACUUGGUUAUGAGUAUUGAACAAUUGACGAAAUUUUUACCACGGGUGUUGAAUAAAGAACUAUAUUCAGGAGAAAGGGAAGAAUUCAGGAAUGGAAUGUAUUGCAGUCUGUAUGAAGUUGUGGAAAAGGCGCGAUCUGGAAGUAAUUUGGAAGGUUUACUCCAAAAGCUAGAGAUGGAUAAACUAGUUAUUAUCAAGCCACUUGUAGACGGAGGAUAUCUCUUGCUACUUUCUCCUGAACAAAUGGCUUCCCCAUAUGACAACCGAACAGGAAGGCCUCGCACUCUGCAAGCACUGUUUCUGUUUCGGAAUCCUAGAGGUGUAGUGACUUCUGCAAACAAAAAUGAACAGAAAAGUGAAAGUACAUCAUUAAUGCAAGAAACCCAUGUGGUUAUGCCAGAACUUACAAGAUUUAUUCAAUCACUGCAUUAUGCUUAUGUCCAAUCUCGUAAAGAUCCUAAACCUGACUUAAAUAAUGUGGUGGAAAAAUAUAUAAAUGACUAUCUGAAACGAUAUAGUAAAUAUAAAGAAUUUAUUUUAUAUAAGUAUAAAGACUCCUUGGAUGAGAGAAGAUUCCUGUAUCCUGGUCCAAAAAACAAAUCCCACCUUGAGAGCUCCUUGCGUGCUUAUAUAUUUGGUUCUGAAGCUUACCAGAUCCCUGUUUCUAAAGCCAAAAAAAUAAUGGAUGGGAAUCGAAAACUUCAGCAGUUCAGUCCUGUUUCAGAUUAUGAAACCCCAGAGGAAGAAUCUGACUUUUCAAAGAGAAAAGGUGGCAAAAGAAAUGGUUCUAAAUGCGAAACAGUCAUCGCCAAGAGAAAACCUAGUCAUCCUGGGGACUAUGAACAAGAACGUAUCAAAGAACUGAUUAACUUAAUUCACUGUAAGAAGAAAAAUGUAGAUAGAGAAUCUGAUACAGAGGACAACAGAAAUGAAAGCCGACUGAAACGAAAGCUAGAAUGUAAAAGAGAGAGCCCACAGAAACAUUUAAAACUUAGCAAUUCUUUAGAAAACAUUUGUCAGUAUGCAGGUGACAGGGCAUCAGAAUCCCUUGAUUCAGUAAUAGCUGAUCUUGGUGGACGUGACACUGAUUUGAGACAGCAAAAUGUUUCUGAACCUCCUGUUACUGACCUAACUGAUGUCCUGAAACUACUUUCAGAAAUGUUAACUAAUGCAGAUUUGCCAUUGGCAAGAUUCGUUAAACAAGCUUCAGCAGAAAGCUAUUCAAGGCAUACUCUUGGGUAUAACUCCAAUCCAGUCAAGGAAGAACCUGAGGAAGGACCUGUGGACCCUCAAAAUGUAGUCAAGCUGGAAACGAGUGCACCAUGCUUGCCUUAUUCUGUGGAUGUUUCUAAUAAUGAGGCAGACAUUGAUCGUAUGCUUCAUUUAAAAGAAACAAGCACAGGAAGUGUAAGUAGCUUUGAUGGCUGCAACAGCCCAUGUCCUAGCACGCCCAUUGAACAGAACUAUCAUAGGCAACAUUACAACUCAAAUAACAUUGAGGGUUCUGAAAUACACUGGAAACUGAUUCCCAUCACAGGAGGGGCAGGAAGAGUUCCUGAGAAGCAACUGAGAAAACAUGGAGAUAACAGAACAGGUUUGAAAUCUCCAGAUGAGUCAUUGGCAUAUUCACCUCCAAAGGAUGCUUCUGAAAAUGACCCCCGGGUAAUAAACCGGCAAAAAAGUUCUGAUUAUCAGUGUGCGUACUCCACAUUUUCAGACAUACAAAAGGGAAGGAUGGAAGAUGGAGCAUAUACAGGUCAAGAGGAGAAAUGUAAAAAUGAGGGUGAACUUGUGAAAAAUCACUGUAUGGCAAAUGAACACUCCAUAAGCAGAAUAAUCGAAACAACAAUCUUAGAAGAAUACAAUCUUUUUAUCAGUAAGAUCCAAGAUAUUCUACAACAGAAGAAUAUUAUGUAUGUUGGUGGAAUUUCCAAACCUGUCCUUUCAGCUCAGGAAAGGGUCAUGAAACUUUCUGAAUAUAUAUGUUUACAGGCAUCAAACAUUGCUGUGCAGGAAUACGUAGAGAGACUGAGUGAAAAGCUCAACACUGUUGCUUUGUCAUCUUCAUAUGGUAUCCAGAGAGUGCCAGUUACUUCAAGUCCUGGGGCAGCAGAUGAUUCAGUUACUGACACUGAAUUGAAUCUGCCCGCAGAAGAGCUUGUGCUUCUUCCAAGUGAUUUUGAUACAGGACAAUAUUCAGAGUUACCAUGUAAUAAUGGAGGAGAUUUAAACACAAGUGAGCAGCAUCAAUUGCCAAAUUUGGACACAGCAAAAGAACAGAGUCCGGUGAGCCUCAAUACAGAGAUGAAGUUAAGAGCUGAUCCAAACAUGUCUUCUACUGACCCUCUGCCACAAACAGAGAAGACCCAGAAGGCUGUAGAUAACUCAGGCAUUACAACCCAACCUGCCUUGGCUGGUUUAAUAAGUCAAUUAAAACCUGAAGUCUUUGACAGUAUUGUCAAAAUUAUUAAAGAUGUUCAGAAAAACAUUGUGAAAUUCUACAUUCAUGAAGAACAAGAGAGUACACUUUGCAAGGAAAUAAAGGAAUACCUUAUUAAAUUAGGUAAUACAGAGUGCCACCCAGAUGAAUUCUUGAAAAGAAGAGCUAACUUGGAUAAGUUGCUUAUAAUUAUUCAAAAUGAAGAUAUUGCUAAUCUAAUUCAUAAGAUACCAUGUUUAGUAGAUUUGAAGAGACUCUCGUGUGUCAGUUUUGCUGGUGUUGACAGUUUGGAUGAUGUGAAAAAUCAUACCUAUAACGAAUUAUUUGUUUCUGGUGGCUUCAUUGUCUCUGAUGAAUCUGUUCUUAAUCCAGAGUCAGUCACAGUUGAUAAACUUAAGAGUUUUCUGAAGUUCCUUGAAGAACUGAGUACUCCAGAUGGAAAGUGGCAAUGGAAAGUUCACUGUAAAAUACAGAAAAAAUUGAAGGAGUUUGGAAGAACAAAUACAAAUGCCACAAGUUUGCUGACACUUCUGAAUGCUUACCAAAAGAAACACAUGGUUGAGAUUCUUUCGUAUCAUAGUUGUGAUUCUCAAACUCGAAAUCCUCCAGAAUUAGAUUGCCUCAUAAGACUUCAGGCUCAGAAUAUACAGCAAAGGCACAUUGUCUUUUUGACAGAAAAGAAUGUGUUAACUUUUGAGUCUUAUGCUAGUAAUGGAAUUGUGGUUACUACAGUUGAUUACUUCAUGCACAAUUUUAAAAGCCUUGUUGGCUACCAUAAUUCAAUUACUGAAGACAGCUGCCUUCCUGCCCCCAAUGAUCAUGAAAGACAAUCAGGUCACUUGACAAAAGAACAUUCAGAUACCAGAUAUUAGACAUCUAAGUAUUUACUGAUGCCACUGUCAAGCACCAGAGAUUAAACAGUGGAUCCCUUACAUGAUCAGAGCUAAAAAUUUGCCGUGGUGUAUGUGUUAAUACUAGAUUGUGCACACCGGAGGCUUGGCAUUUCUUAUUUCUUCUCGCUUGUUGAAUUGUCUCCAGCAAAACCACUGCGAUGCUACCAUAAAUCCCAGGUAUGUUCCCUAAAAUCUUGUUUUCAUCCCCCAAAGCCUUAGCUUUUAUUAUUGUACUCUGAAGCAGCAAACCACAUAAGCAGUAACCAUAUUUUUAUUUCCUGUCUUUCCUCUAAGUUGCUCAAGGUGGCAUCCAUGGUCCCCUCCACAGUUAGCAUCACAAUAACCCUGUGAGGCAGCUGUAGGAAGCAGAGCCAGCCUUGCUAGUGCAUUUGUCAAAGAAUUCCUUACAUCAGAAAUGUAUGCAGCUUCAAUUAAAAAAGGGAAAAACAGUGGGGUUGAUCCGAGGCCUUUUCUGUACAGAGCACCCAACAAAGUUUAUCAGUGGAGGAAGUAGGCAGGACAGCAAUUUUUGCUGAUCUUCUGCUUCCCAUGCUGUUCCAGAUGCUUCCCUGUAGCAAUGUUUCAGUGAGCACCACAGGCUCUAACAAUGAGGAGGAAUCACACGAUUCAUAUACCCCUUCUUCCAGUGCCUGUGGAACUACACUAAGUACAGGUCUGAAUCCAACCAAGUAAAUGAAGAAAAGCAUUUGCUUGAUUGUUAGAUGAGAGUGUAAAUCAGCAGGAAUAAGGUAAAUGCUGCAACAAAUCGCACAGAAUCAGAGCUGGAAGGGACCUCAAAUGUUAUCUAGUUCAACUACCUAUGAAUGCAGGAGAUCCAUUGCUACAGCUUCCCCGAUAGAUGGCUGUCCAGCCUUUGCUUAAAUACCUCUAAAGUCCAGCACCUCUGGGACGUGUCAGGGAGGUAGGAACAGGUGUUGGGAUGAAAUACAGUCAAAGAAAAGUUUUCUAAGGCAAUAUGUUUGAGGCACAAGAUGACUUGGACAAAGUAAGGAGAGGAACAGUAUUUGUAAUUAAAUUUGAUCAGGGAAUUCUGAAAUACUUAAACAUUGUUCUCAAAAUGCAUCCAAAAAGAAACUAUUAUAGAACUGAAAAGUGAUAACUAUUUAUGUAAUGUUUUCACAUGUGCUAAUGCUGGACAUUGGAGAUUGAGUAAUAGAUAAGACCAUCAGAUGAACAAGUGGUCAAAACCAUCAGCUAUCACUUCAUGUUGUAAAUGGAUUUAAAAUCAAUAAACUUUAGAAACCAUUACGAAAGGAAACAGACAUUUUAUUUAUUUCAAGAGGGAAAUGAAGUCCUUCUGCCAACCCUGGUGGCAAGGCCAUAAGAUAACGAAUUAAUGCCUGGUGCUACAAGCUGCACACAUAAAUGUUCCACUUCUUGCUAUAUGACACAGACCGGUCAGUAGAGAAUUCAAUGGAAUAGUAAGAAUGAGCUUCAGAAACUCAAUCCUGUUUAAGACUGAAUUUAAACUGGUUUCAACAGGUUCACGGAACUAUUUGACACAUAGAUUUUGUAUAUGCAUAUUAAAAUUGCAUUAAAACAUGUAUUCAUUGCUUAUUUAUUAGGUUUGUAUCUUGCCUUUUUUAAAGAGCUUACAUCAUUCUUCUCUUCCUGUUCUUGAUCGUAUCCCCACAAAACAACCCUGAGAAAUAGGAUGGGCUGAGAGUCUUGUGACUGGCCCAAGGUCACCCAGUUAGCUCCAUGGCUGAGCAGGGACCAGAACCCAGAUCUCCUGAGUCCAGGUUCCGCACUCUUAACCGCUACACCACUCUGGUAGAAAACCUGAGACCCAAAGAUAUUUUAGGAGAGCCAAAACAACAUUGUAUUAAGCUACACUACGUUAAAGGUGCCACCUUGGCUGAAAAACUACUUCCAUUAAGUACAGUAGCUGGAGAAUGCUAGGCAUUGCAGGACCUUGUCUAAACAUGCAUAUGCUUGCACCCUAAGUCUCUGUAAACCAUUCCAAGAGCAACUGCUUUUAGUCUUUCAGGUUCUGUUGUAUUUAAAUCCAUUACUAUAUUUUAAAAUCUUUACACGGCUGUUGAUUUUUACUUUGGUUUUAUGUUGCUAUGUGUUGUCAGCUGGUCUCCAGUUUAUGGUGACCCUGUGAGUGUAUGCCGUGUCCUUGAUAGUCCUGCUUAAUCCUGCUCUGGAUUUUUCUCUUCCUAAACAUAAAUUGCAUUGUGUCCAAAAAGUUUUAUAUUUUAUCAUGCUGUAUUUUAGAGUUUUAAUUAUUACACACACCCAGACAGCUUUGGCUACUAGAGGAUAUAGAAGUGUAAUUUAAAAUAGCAAAACAUUUUAACUGUAAACUGUCUGGAAUGCCUUUGCCCAUGCGGUGUAUGAAGCAAAUCAAAUAUUUGGCUUAAUCCCCCCAAAAUUGAGGCCAAACAUGUUAACUACAUUUAUUUGCAUUCAUCUCGUUACUCUGGCCUCUUACUGCUCUUACUCAACUGCAGUUGCCUUCCCCUUGCCAUAUCUAAAUUGAGACUGCAGAGUCAAGUGCUAUUAUUUGGAUAUUAAGAGUACAACCCUGUGUUCAGUAAACUUACUAAACUCAGUGCAGUUUACAUCCAUCUGGAUAUAUACCGCAAAUGCCUCAUCUUGAUCUUUGCUAUCGUAAGAAAUAUCCACAGAUCUUAAAUUUCUCAACAUACUUUUUGCUUUGGGAAGAGAAUUUAUAUUCAUUGUGUUUUUAAAAUUAACUUCAAAAAGUUGUAAAAAUGCUGGUCUUAUGAACUUAUACAAAAACUCACUGAAUAAUUUAAUGGAGAAUGAGAUACUUACCUUUGUUCAAGCAAACAGUUUUUUGGAGAUGAAUCUUCCUAAAAUAAAACCAAAGUAAAUAAAUGA